UGCAGCUGAAUCUGUGUGACCUUGACCUGUCUCUGAGCCUCGGUUUUCUGAUACAUAGCACAAGAGUAAUAAUACCUCAAAGGAAAGCCUGGCAUAGCCAGAGGCAGCCUGAGCACAGAGCACUGAGGCUUUUUGGAGAGCUCCUGGGGCCCCAACCAUCAGCCCCACAAGCCAGGCUAGAGGGUCUGCAGCCCACUGGCUGGGUAACCUCGGGAAAGUCAUGGCAACUUCUCUGAGACGUUGGUCUCUCGCAUCAGGUGGAUGCUGAUGCUAAUCCUAUUCCCAGAAAAAGCAACGCAGACUGAUAAAAGCUUCGCUCACUUUGGCUCCACACCAUCUGGCCCCUGGCGGGCAUGGACCCAGGAGACCCAGGUGCAGUGAGGGCCAUCGGUUCAUUACGUGCACCUGAGGUGUGCUCAGCCUCACCCUGCGCCACGUCCAAGGCUCACAGGAAGCUGUGUUCUGGUGCAGGAGGCCAAAACCAGGGGACCAAGGAAGGUUAUGUGGUAAGUUCUGGAAGAAAAAGGCCACCAGUGUGUCAGAGAAGAACUGGAAGAGGGUGGCCAGGAAGGUCCCCCAGGACCAGGAGUCACACAGGACAUCAGAGGGGAGAGCAGCUGCAGUGUCCCAGGGCAAGGGCACAGCUGUGACGGAAGCCGGGGCAGCGCCAUGGCCUGCAGCAUCCUGGUUGCUCACUCCGCUGCUGGGCAGAGAAAUGGACUGUGGGGGACAAUUAGACCAGACCGUAUGCUUCUUGAGGCCAGAGACUAUGUCUUAUUCAUCCCUGUAACUCCUACACCAAGCACAUAAGAAUUCAACAAAUAUCAGUGAAUGAAUGAUUUUGAUAAGAUUAAAAAACCCCAGGAUUUGAUUGGAUCUCUUGGUCUUCUUGGAUCUUGAAACCAACCUCCUCAGCUUGUGGCAUUCCUAAGAACCCUAUGCUUUAAACCAUCUGCUCUUCUUCGCCUUUACUGAACCCAGCCACCUGUGCCAUGAGCUCCUGUCUACCUGUCCUUCCAGCCUUGGUUCAGAGAUGAACUCUCUUGUGAAGACUUUCUUCCUCUGCAUAGAGUUAAGUACUCCUUUCCUAUUUUCUUAAUACUUAAAUCUCUACAGUAAACAUCCAACAUGCUCUACUGUAAUCAGUUAUCUGUGUCUGUCUUCUCACCAGAAUAAGAGCCCCUCAGUGUAGAAAUUAUAUCUCAUUUAUUGCUGUUAUCCCAGUGCCAGUCCAGUCCUUGGGGUGCAGAAGAUGGGCAACAUUUGUUUGUUGAGUGAAUGAAUGAAAAUAAAGACUCAGUUCCUACUCAAAGGACAAGGACUUCCAAUUUAACUACCAGAAGAAAAGGAUCAGUAAGUUGUUGGAGCAGAGUCUAAGGGUUUUGUGUUUCCAGGUUUCCUCUAAGAACUGAACACACUUAGAAGACACGCACAUGCCUCUACUUUCAGGUAACUCAGCGGUGCCAGGGACUUUGCUCACCCCAUUCCAGGAGCAGCCCUUUUGUUUUAAGAGGCUACAGCUCACAAGCACUUCGUGGUGGGUGGGCAAGCAUGGAUAGAUGUCUGCAAGCCUCUUUCUCUUCGGCAAGUGCUCAGAAUAGCUCCAUUAGUGUUCAUGGAAAUUCUGCACACGCAUCAAGGGGAAAACAGCCACAAAUAACACAGCCUGCUUUCUAAACCUCCACAGCACAUCUCUGCAAUCAUUCUGCUUUCCAACUAUCACCACCGAAGCCUUUCAGCCAGAAAGUAAUUUGUUUUCAACUUACUGUGGGUUCGAAGUUAGCAGAACCCUUUGGUUGUUUAUAAAUGAGGCUUCUGACUUCCACUUUCUCUCCCCAGCCCAGCUUCUCUUCUCUACCUGUCAUCACUACACUGAGCAGCUCCUGCCCAGAACCAGUCCAGAGGUGUUCACCUGAUGCUUGGCCCCUUCGGAUCUGCACCCAGUCCUUGCCUUCCGCUCCAGCCACUCUCCUGCUUGUGUCCUCCCACUCCUCUCCCUUCCAGUUAUCUCCACUUCUGGAUCCUUCCACACUCUGGUUUCCCAGCAGGUCAUCGCCUCAACUACCCAGUUACCAACUUCUGCCCUUUAAAAUGGGACACAGGCAUCACCUGCUCCAGGAAGCAUUCCCUGACUGGGUUACACAUUGCUCCUGUAGGCCCACACCCAGUCAUUCAACUAGGCAAUAAAUAGUUAUGGAGACCCAGUGUGAGGGCUUUGUAUCUAGAUGUCCCCCCAGCCUCACACAGUCAUAGGUGGGGAAUUUUGAAGGGGGUUGGGUUAGGGUGUAUGAAUGUGGAUUAAAGGUGUGAUGUUGCAAUUGAGGGUGUGGAUAAUGGACGCCCCACUCUGGAUGUGAGUGGCACCCAUCAAUAGGCUUACAGCCUGAUGAAGUAAAAGGAAAGGCAGGCUGGCUUCUUGCUGUUCGCUGCGGUCUGCCUGCCGCACCAUGAACUGUUUCCCCUCUGCAAUGCCCCUCUGCUGGGUCAUUCUGUCUUGGAGCCAGCCAGUUAUGGCCUGAAACCUCUACAAACUAUGAGCUAAAUAAACCUUUCCUCCUCUAA